rnacentral:rRNA from 2 species
GGACUACCAGGGUUUCUAAUCCCGUUUGCUCCCCUGGCCUUCGCGCCUCAGCGUCAGGAACUGUCCAGAGAUCCGCCUUCGCCACUGGUCUUCCUCACGAUAUCUACGCAUUUCACUGCUACACCGUGAAUUCCAAUCUCCUCUCCAGUCCUCAAGCAAAGCAGUAUCGAGUGCAGUUUCAGAGUUGAGCCCUGAGAUUUCACACCCGACUUGCCCCGCAGCCUACGCGCCCUUUACGCCCAAUGAAUCCGAACAACGCUCGAGACCUCUGUAUUACCGCGGCGGCUGGCAC